rnacentral:rRNA from 1 species
GUGCCAGCCGCCGCGGUAAGACGAACCACACGAACGUUAUUCGGAAUUACUGGGCUUAAAGGGUGCGUAGGCUGUGCGGAAAGUUGGGUGUGAAAGCCCCCGGCUCAACCGGGGAAUUGCGCCCAAAACUACCGUGCUGGAGGAAGAUAGAGGUGAGCGGAACUUCGGGUGGAGCGGUGAAAUGCGUUGAUAUCCGAAGGAACACCGGUGGCGAAAGCGGCUCACUGGAUCUUUUCUGACGCUGAUGCACGAAAGCUAGGGGAGCAAACGGGAUUAGAAACCCUUGUAGUCC